rnacentral:lncRNA from 1 species
AAAUACAAUGAAAUAGAUACAAUACAGAAAGAUACAUUGAAAUACAAUGAGAAAAAGAGACACUGAAUAUAAUUAAAUACAUGAAAUAUAACGAGAUACAUUGAAUUACAAUAAAAAAAAGAUAGUGAAUACAAUUAAAUACAUAGAAAUACAUUAAGAUACAUUGAAAUGCUCUUAAAAAAGGUAACAAAAUAUUCAAAUUGCUCAGCCUCAAACUUCAGACGACUUAUUUUAGUCGGCAAUUUUCCGACGACCCAUCAAAUUUCGACCAUGAUUCUAUAAAUAGCAAUGAGAGAAAAUUAUAAAUUAAUAAGGUCUACAGUCCACAUGAACUCGGCAGAGCCGUAUAGAGGUGCCUCUAUCUCCGUCGCUUGAGAAUCGUUUGCGCCUCCUUGGAAAGCUGCAGAAGAUAGUUUUAGGGCCUUUUUGGCGACACCUAAAAACUAAAGCUGAAGGCAAAUAAAAAAGUAAGUUAUCCUCUCCAACUGCAAUAAAUAACUAAUCAUAAGCAUAAAUUAAGUCCCCUAAUCUCAACUGCCCAAAAAUCAGCCAUAGGAAAGAGGAAAAUAAAGAACGAGAAAAACAAAGAAACUCAAUGACAUUACCUAGCUCUAGCUUGGAGGCUUCUUCGAGGUCGGAAGAUGACGAUGAGGAACGAGGACAUAAGGGUUAAAAAUUGGUAUUUUGUGGUAUAAUAUGCCUCCUUUGUCGUUGGACAAAAUCGGCAAAGUAUUGCCUUUCUCCAGACUGUGUUCCUGCUCUAGAGUCCUUAUCGCUAGAUCUUAAAUUUUAAUGUGAUGGGAGAAGAAAAU